AKAGUUUGAUCCUGGCUCAGAACGAACGCUGGCGGCGUGCUUAACACAUGCAAGUCGAACGGGAUCCAGAGCUUGCUCUGGUGAGAGUGGCGCACGGGUGAGUAACGCGUGGAUAACCUGCCCUGGUAUCCGGAAUAACAUCUCGAAAGGGGUGCUAAUACCGGAUAAGCCUACGGAGCCCUCGGUCUCUGCAGGAAAAGGUGGCCUAUAUUUAUAAGCUACCGUAUCAGGAUGGGUCCGCGUACCAUUAGCUAGUUGGUGGGGUAAUGGCCCACCAAGGCGACGAUGGUUAGCUGGUCUGAGAGGAUGAUCAGCCACACUGGAACUGAGACACGGUCCAGACUCCUACGGGAGGCAGCAGUGGGGAAUUUUGCGCAAUGGGGGAAACCCUGACGCAGCAACGCCGCGUGAGUGAUGAAGGCUUUCGGGUCGUAAAGCUCUGUCAGAGGGGAAGAAAUGAGCCUGGCUAAUAUCCAGGUUUCCUGACGGUACCCUCAAAGGAAGCACCGGCUAACUCCGUGCCAGCAGCCGCGGUAA
rnacentral:rRNA from 1 species